CUGUUCGAGCGUCAUUAUAACCACUCAAGCCUCGGCUUGGUCUUGGGGUUCGCGGUCUCGCGGCCCUUAAAAUCAGUGGCGGUGCGUCUGGCUCUAAGCGUAGUAAUUUUCUCGCUAUAGGGUCCAGGCGACCACCUGCCAGAACCCCCCCAUUCUUUACGGUUGACCUCGGAUCAGGUAGGGAUACCCGCUGAACUUAA
rnacentral:misc_RNA from 1 species